rnacentral:rRNA from 1 species
UACGAAGGGGGCUAGCGUUGCUCGGAAUCACUGGGCGUAAAGGGUGCGUAGGCGGGUCUUUAAGUCAGGGGUGAAAUCCUGGAGCUCAACUCCAGAACUGCCUUUGAUACUGAGGAUCUUGAGUUCGGAAGAGGUGAGUGGAACUGCGAGUGUAGAGGUGAAAUUCGUAGAUAUUCGCAAGAACACCAGUGGCGAAGGCGGCUCACUGGUCCGGUACUGACGCUGAGGUGCGAAAGCGUGGGGAGCAAACAGG